UCAAAUGCAACUGAGGCUGAACUUUCAGCUUGUUUAGAAGGACUCAUCAGGUUUGGUGCUUGAGUGGCACAGGCACCCAGCCUUGCUGGAAACUGAUCGCUCUGCUGAUGUCCAAGCCAUUCUCUUGCACGCUGAAAAUCCCUUAGAAAAAGGUCAAAAGGGAGGGAAAGGAGGUUGCGCAUUCGUUAGCUAUCCGAAUAUAUAUCAUAUGAAAAAUAUUUCAUGAUGAAUCUAAUGGUAUUGAUUUGGUAUUGUAAAUGCUGAUAUUUUUUCUGUAAACUUGGUCAAUGUUGACAAAGUUUGGCUUUGAAGAAAAAGCUCACAUGCAACUAUAAUUUGGCAAGGAGGGAGUAGAGAAGAGUUGAGUAGGGCGGUCAUGCA
rnacentral:rRNA from 1 species